rnacentral:rRNA from 1 species
UAAAGAAUUUCGGUACAAGAUGAGCAUGCGUCCCAUUAGCUAGUUGGUAUGGUAACGGCAUACCAAGGCUUUGAUGGGUAGGGGUCCUGAGAGGGAGAUCCCCCCACACUGGUACUGAGACACGGACCAGACUCCUACGGGAGGCAGCAGUGAGGAAUAUUGGUCAAUGGACGCAAGUCUGAACCAGCCAUGCCGCGUGCAGGAUGACGGUCCUAUGGAUUGUAAACUGCUUUUGUACGGGAAGAAACGACUCUACGUGUAGGGUUUUGACGGUACCGUAAGAAUAAGGAUCGGCUAACUCCGUGCCAGCAGCCGCGGUAAUACGGAGGAUCCAAGCGUUAUCCGGAAUCAUUGGGUUUAAAGGGUCCGUAGGCGGUUUUAUAAGUCAGUGGUCAAAUCCGGCAGCUCAACUGUCGAACUGCCAUUGAUACUGUAGAACUUGAAUUAUUGUGAAGUAACUAGAAUAUGUAGUGUAGCGGUGAAAUGCUUAGAUAUUACAUGGAAUACCAAUUGCGAAGGCAGGUUACUAACAAUACAUUGACGCUGAUGGACGAAAGCGUGGGGAGCGAACAGGAUUAGAUACCCUGGUAGUCCACGCCGUAAACGAUGGAUACUAGCUGUUCGGAAGCAAUUCUGAGUGGCUAAGCGAAAGUGAUAAGUAUCCCACCUGGGGAGUACGAACGCAAGUUUGAAACUCAAAGGAAUUGACGGGGGCCCGCACAAGCGGUGGAGCAUGUGGUUUAAUUCGAUGAUACGCGAGGAACCUUACCAGGGCUUAAAUGUAGAGUGACAGGACUGGAAACAGUUUUUUCUUCGGACACUUUACAAGGUGCUGCAUGGUUGUCGUCAGCUCGUGCCGUGAGGUGUCAGGUUAAGUCCUAUAACGAGCGCAACCCCUGUUGUUAGUUGCCAUCGAGUAAUGUCGGGAACUCUAACAAGACUGCCGGUGCAAACCGCGAGGAAGGUGGGGAUGACGUCAAAUCAUCACGGCCCUUACGUCCUGGGCUACACACGUGCUACAAUGGCCGGUACAGAGAGCAGCCACCUGGUGACAGGGAGCGAAUCUAUAAAGCCGGUCACAGUUCGGAUUGGAGUCUGCAACCCGACUCCAUGAAGCUGAAUCGCUAGAAUC